GACGAACGCUGGCGGCGUGCUUAACACAUGCAAGUCGAACGGAAAGGCCCUGCUUUUGUGGGGUGCUCGAGUGGCGAACGGGUGAGUAACACGUGAGUAACCUGCCCUUGACUUUGGGAUAACUUCAGGAAACUGGGGCUAAUACCGGAUAGGAGCUCCUGCUGCAUGGUGGGGGUUGGAAAGUUUCGGCGGUUGGGGGUGGACUCGCGGCUUAUCAGCUUGUUGGUGGGGUAGUGGCUUACCAAGGCUUUGACGGGUAGCCGGCCUGAGAGGGUGACCGGCCACAUUGGAACUGGGAUAAGGCCCAGACUCCAACGGGAGGCAGCAGUGGGGAAUAGUGCACAAUGGGCGGAAGCCUGAUGCAGUAACGCCGCGUGCGGGAAGACGGCCUUCGGGUUGUAAACCGCAUUCGCCUGUGACGAAGCGUGAGUGACGGUAAUGGGUAAAGAAGCACCGGCUAACUACGUG
rnacentral:rRNA from 1 species